CGCGUGAGCAAUCUGCCUUUGGAUGGGGGAUAACAGCCGGAAACGACUGCUAAUACCGCAUAAUGCAGCAGGACCGCAUGAUUUUGCUGCCAAAGAUUUAUCGUCCAAAGAUGAGCUCGCGUCUGAUUAGCCAGUUGGCGGGGUAACGGCCCACCAAAGCGACGAUCAGUAGCCGGACUGAGAGGUUGAACGGCCACAUUGGGACUGAGACACGGCCCAGACUCCUACGGAAGGCAGCAG
rnacentral:rRNA from 1 species